AUUCCAGCUCCAAUAGCGUAUAUUAAAGUUGUUGCAGUUAAAAAGCUCGUAGUUGAACUUUGGGCUUGGUCAGCCGGUCCGCUUUUUUGCGUGUACUGGUCCUGACCGAGCCUUUCCUUCUGGCUAACCUGUCUCUCGGGGCAGGCGAACCAGGACUUUUACUUUGAAAAAAUUAGAGUGUUCAAAGCAGGCCUUUGCUCGAAUAUAUUAGCAUGGAAUAAUAGAAUAGGACGUUUGGUUCUAUUUUGUUGGUUUCUAGGACCAUCGUAAUGAUUAAUAGGGACGGUCGGGGGCAUCAGUAUUCAAUUGUCAGAGGUGAAAUUCUUGGAUUUAUUGAAGACUAACUACUGCGAAAGCAUUUGCCAAGGACGUUUUCAUUA
rnacentral:rRNA from 1 species